rnacentral:rRNA from 1 species
UACGGAGGGUGCAAGCGUUAUCCGGAUUCACUGGGUUUAAAGGGUGCGUAGGCGGAUAGGUAAGUCCGUGGUGAAAUCCUGCAGCUUAACUGCAGAACUGCCAUGGAUACUAUCUAUCUUGAAUGUCGUGGAGGUUAGCGGAAUAUGUCAUGUAGCGGUGAAAUGCUUAGAGAUGACAUAGAACACCCAUUGCGAAGGCAGCUAACUACGCGAUAAUUGACGCUGAUGCACGAAAGCGUGGGGGAUCAAACAGG